rnacentral:lncRNA from 1 species
AGUCCAGUCUUUGGCCUCUCAACGUUCUCAGCCUUCAGGAUCAUCUCGCCCACCUACUCGUGCCAGCACCUCCACUCGUGGCAGAGGCAGACGGGGUAGAGGAUGAGCUCUUGGUCGUGAUCCAUCAUCUCCUCACCCCAUCUCUGAUACAUCUGAUUCUGAUCCAUAGAGUCAUAUGUUCUACUAGAUCCUUGUUGUUAGUCAUGUCUGUUGUUCUUUCUAGGAUCUAUC